UACGUAGGUGGCAAGCGUUGUCCGGAUUUACUGGGCGUAAAGAGCGCGCAGGCGGUCGUUCAAGUCGCGUGUGAAAGCCCCCGGCUCAACUGGGGAGGGUCACGCGAUACUGAUCGACUCGAAGGCAGGAGAGGGAAGUGGAAUUCCCGGUGUAGUGGUGAAAUGCGUAGAUAUCGGGAGGAACACCAGUGGCGAAGGCGACUUCCUGGCCUGUUCUUGACGCUGAGGCGCGAAAGCGUGGGGAUCAAACAGG
rnacentral:rRNA from 1 species